rnacentral:rRNA from 1 species
UGCGCAAGUCAUUGGGACACUAAUGAAACCCAAAGGCACAAUGAAAGUGAACUGGGUCAGGUGCGCGUGCGGCACUCACGUGCCACGUGUGACACUUGACCAGAGGGAGGAUGGGUCGGUCUCCGGUGCUGUAAAAGGCGCUAGACGGUCGGCCCCGCACUCCCGGGGCGUCUCGUGUUCAUUGCGAACUGAGGCGCACCAAGAGCGUACACGCUGGGACCCGAAAGAUGGUGAACUAUGCCUGGUCAGGACGAAGUCAGGGGAAACCCUGAUGGAGGUCCGUAGCGAUUCUGACGUGCAAAUCGAUCGUCGGAACUGGGUAUAGGGGCGAAAGACUAAUCGAACCAUCUAGUAGCUCGUU